UCUCUGAUAGCUCAGUUGGUAAAGAAUCUGCCUGCAAUGCAGGGGACCCGGGUUCGAUUCCUGGGUGGGGAA
rnacentral:tRNA from 1 species